AGUAUGAAAUGUGACUGGGAGCGUCCUGGGAGCCAAGGCAAAAAGAGGAAGCAAGCUCCCCUGCUUAGCUCUUCCUGUUAGAAUCGAGAGAGCAUGCCAGUUAAGCGCCACCCGCUUUGCUUUCUCACCCCCGCAGAUCCCACCUGUGGUCCAGGCUUGCUCAGUGCCGCCUGGGUCCUAUUUAGGCGCCAUCUCAGCCCCUCAGUUUUGCACAUGGUCUCCCACUGCCUGGAUGCCCUUCUCCUUUCUCUCUGCUUGGGAACCGGGACUUUCUUUAACGUUCCUUCUAAGUUGGUCUUGCAUUAACCAUUGAGUCUACAGGGCAGGAAGCGUGUCCUAGUCCCCUGCGUCUGCACAGAACAGGCACCAGUGACUGUUGAAGGACGAAGCAGCCCCCUCCCCAUCCCUGUGGCUGCAGCCACAGAGGCCCAAGCUCCAGGUCUCUAUCCAGCUACCAGCUGGCUGUAGGAACAGGACUGUAUUCUCAGAGAGGUGCCAGGGAGCAUCUCCCUACCUCCCCGCCUUGGCCCUGCCCAUCUUUUCCUUCCAGGUUGCCACCCACCGGGGACUGGAAGGUGGCUCUGAUGGUUGGUGUCACAGACCCUGCUUGUGUGGCUUGAAGCUUGGCCUUUCAGUGGUCAGAUUCUUCUGCAGCCACAGACUGGCUUCCAAUGCCAGCUUCACCUCUCUGGGUCCCCAGGGGCACGCCCUCUCCAAACCUAUCUGUCCUCACUGCAUACCCACCUCGCCAGGCCCACCCAUCUCUCAGGGACCUUCCCGGGCGGAGCUGGGAACAAAGCUCAGUUUAUGACCCUGCAUCGUGGAAACCACACCUGCCUGCCUGCUGCCCACACCUAAUCAAGGCCUCCUGAAGACCCAGGGGCUGCAGGGAAACUCCUCACACUCUUCUUCUCUCCUAGCGUCUGGGAGGUGCUGGGGGCUUGGGCUAGUGAGUGGGGAUUUCACAGCCCCGGAAGAGAGAGACGUUGCUCUAGGCUGAUUAGUCUGGUCAGAUGAUUAAUAAUUAAACCUGACCUGUUCCCAGCUACACACAUACACACCCUGCAGCCAGGAAUCAGCAGAGAUCAGGGGUAGAGAAGAUCAGCAUGGGCCCAGCUCCAACUCCCCCACCUCAUUCCAGGGUUGGGGAGAGUCUCAGGGCUCCUCCUCCUCACCUACCUAAGGUCCUACCAGUCCACUUCCUAUAUAAAGCUUUCUUGAUUUUUCCCACAGGCCUGAGCUCUGGGCAGGCUUUGGGCAAUUCCUAGGCUGCACAGGCCGGGGUGACUCUGUAGGAGUGGGAUUUGCAGAUCAGAUAGGACUUGGGCUCCACCUGUGUCAACACUCAAUUUCAACUCCAUCUUGACUUCUGCAGCCUCUCCACUUCUUAUUUAUACUCCCACUCCCCAGAGCUCUAGGAAGAGCAGGGCAUGCUCAGCACCCUGUCUGAUCUUAGCACAGCAGAAACAUUCAGCUUGGGGAGGUGGGAGCCAGUCAGCUUGGCUGCAUUCUGCCCUCAUCAUCAUGGGCUGCCCAAGUUUUUCCAAAGGUCCUUCUCUGGCCACAGGAAUCCUGAGACUCUGGUUGGCUGCUGGGCAGAUUGAAGCUGAGAAUCCAUACACAAGGGUUCAGCUAGGUGGCCAAAGUGGGGUCCCCUCCUACCCUCCUCCACUGCAGAUCAUCCUUCUAGCUUGUCCCUUGUGUUUUCCAAGGUCUUAAGGAAGCAUGAUCUCCUCUUCAGAGACCACUUCCCACCCACCCUUCCUCCUUCCAGCUCCGCAUCUCUCCAGAGCUCAGAAGCCUUUCCCACUCAGUGGAUAAUGCUCUUCUAGUACAUUGUCCUGGAGAAGGCAAUGGUACCCCACUCCAGUACUCUUGCCUGGAAAAUCUCAUGGACAGAGGAGCCUGGUAGGCUGCAGUCCAUGGGGUCGCAAAGAGUCGGACAUGGCUGAGCGACUUCACUUUCACUUUUCACUUUCAUGCAUUGGAGAAGGACAUGGCAACCCACUCCAGUGUUCUUGCCUGGAGAAUCCCAGGGACGGGGGAGCCUGGUGAGCUGCCAUCUCUGGGGUCACACAGAGUUGGACAUGACUGAAGCAACUUAGCAGCAGCAGCAGCAGUACAUUGUCCAGACUUUUGUAGUUAGAUUUUAUUUGGGCUGGGUAGGGAGGAGUAGGGUCUCCAGCCCCUGGCCUCCCUCCCUGGGCCUCUUCAACCCAGGAAAGCAGGUGAUCAUCCUGACCCCACCUUCGUCCCUCCCAGGGCUUUGUGAGGUGGAACAGAAAGGCCUCAGCCUGUUAUUUAAACACACGUGUGUAUGUGUACAUGUGUUUGUGCCUGCCUGCAUGUAUGCAUGCAAGGAUACAUGUAUAUGAAGCUUCUGGACAAGCUUGGAGGUUUUAAAAUCUGAGCCUCCCCAGGAUGCCCCAUGUUAGGUAGCACUCCAAUCCUUCCCCUGGCCAUGGCCAGGUGCACCCACCUCUGUUUUAACCCACACUGUGAUCUGCUUGUUCUCUUGUUCCCAGUCCAAGAAUUAUUUCUAUGGGAUUAGUCAAAGCCUCUUUGCCUUUCCCUUUCCUUGCUAAAGAAAAUUCUAACUGCCAAGCAUUUGGCCCUCCCUCUCUUGCUUAUUAAAAACAAACAAACAAACAGGUCAAAUUGUCAGGUUGAGGAAGAAGCAGAGGAGUGGGGUGAUGUCCUUUGAAGAUGACUGAGGUUGAUUCUCAGAGAGAAGAGGGGAGGGAGGGAGAGAGAGCUGGAGGGAGAGGAAGAAAGAGGAUACCCUCGUUCUGGGAGAGAUGUCAGGGAGGUUUCGUUACAUUUUGGUGGACAAUAAAGAGUUUAAGAUGGAAAAUGAGGCUUCUGGGUAGCUAUAGGGGUUAGAUAAUUGGAAACCAAAAGAAAGCAGGAAUUUUGGGACAUGUUGCUUUAGGUAACAAAUUUGACUUCAUGUUUCUCUGAGAGACCCAAAUAAUAUUUUUCAUCUCAUCUAAGAGAAUGUCAAUUCUGCGUUUUAUUUUUUUUGUGCAACUAGGAAAGAAAAAACUCGGCCAAUUAAACCCUAAUACACGUAUCCUUAUCAAAUCAUUUGUUAGCUGCAGCCCGACUUUAGGAAUGUUAAAAUGUGAAAAACUUUUACUAAAGUUUAUGAAUAAACUAGUUUUACUUACGAUUCUUUACAAUGCGACAACAUGCUAGGACUAGACAGUAUUAGGCUCUUAAAUUUAUUCUGACUACAGUCAUGUAAAUGUUAGCCCCCCAACCCUAACCCAUCCCUGUAAAGAACAUUGACCUUCUCACUCUUAUAACCUUUAUAUUUACUACGUGUGCCUGGCAUAACAUAGGAACCUAUUUGCUCAAUUAAAUUUUAUGAGCCAUCACGUACUCUCAAAGGGCUGCAGUUAGGUCCUCUUCUACACAUUUUUUCACCUAAGCAACAAUCUGAAAGAUGGAUAGACAGACACACAUACACACACACCCCAGUCUGAACAGCUGGAUGGCCAGAUGACCUGAUUUCAGUCCUCCUGUGCAUGUGUGGGUUUAAGAUGGCCUUGGUG
ensembl:lncRNA